GACGAACGCUGGUGGCGUGCCUAAUACAUGCAAGUCGAGCGAAUCAACAGGAGCUUGCUCCUGUUGGUUAGCGGCGGACGGGUGAGUAACACGUGGGCAACCUGCCUGUAAGACUGGGAUAACACCGGGAAACCGGUGCUAAUACCGGAUAAUCUUUUUCCUCUCAUGAGGAAAAACUGAAAGUCGGUUUCGGCUGACACUUACAGAUGGGCCCGCGGCGCAUUAGCUAGUUGGUAAGGUAACGGCUCACCAAGGCGACGAUGCGUAGCCGACCGGAGAGGGUGAUCGGCCACACGGGGGCUGAGACACGGCCCAGACUCCUACGGGAGGCAGCAGUAGGGAAUCUUCCACAAUGGACGAAAGUCUGAUGGAGCAACGCCGCGUGAGCGAUGAAGGCCUUCGGGUCGUAAAGCUCUGUUGUUAGGGAAGAACAAGUACCGGAGUAACUGCCGGUACCUUGACGGUACCUAACCAGAAAGCCACGGCUAACUACGUGCCAGCAGCCGCAGUAAAAC
rnacentral:rRNA from 1 species